rnacentral:rRNA from 1 species
AUUGAACGCUGGCGGUAUGCUUAACACAUGCAAGUCGAACGAUGAGAAAGAGCUUGCUCUUUCGAUUAGUGGCGGACGGGUGCGUAACGCGUAGGAAUCUACCUAUUAGUGGGGGACAACUUAGGGAAACUUAAGCUAAUACCGCAUACGCCCUACGGGGGAAAGAAGGGGGUCGCAAGACCUUUUGCUAAUAGAUGAGCCUGCGUAGGAUUAGCUAGUUGGUGGGGUAAAAGCUCACCAAGGCGACGAUCCUUAACUGGUUUGAGAGAAUGAUCAGUCACACUGGAACUGAGAGACGGUCCAGACUCCUACGGGAGGCAGCAGUGGGGAAUAUUGGACAAUGGGCGAAAGCCUGAUCCAGCAAUACCGCGUGUGUGAAGAAGGCCUUAGGGUUGUAAAGCACUUUCAAUUGGAAGGAAAACCUCGAAGCUAAUACCUUCGAGUUUGACAUUACCUUUAGAAGAAGCACCGGCUAACUCCGUGCCAGCCGCCGCAGUAA